rnacentral:tRNA from 1 species
GUUUUCUAGGAUAGGCAAGGCCGCUCAUAACGGUCUGGUUGGGGGUUCGAGUCCCUCCGGGCCCACCA